rnacentral:misc_RNA from 1 species
GAUGAGGAACGUAGCGAAAUGCGAUAAGUAAUGUGAAUUGCAGAAUUCAGUGAAUCAUCGAAUCUUUGAACGCACAUUGCGCCCCCUGGUAUUCCGGGGGGCAUGCCUGUCCGAGCGUCAUUACAACCCUCAAGCUCAGCUUGGUAUUGGGCCCCGCCGACCCGGCGGGCCCUAAAGUCAGUGGCGGUGCCGUCCGGCUCCGAGCGUAGUAAUUCUUCUCGCUCUGGAGGUCCGGUCGUGUGCUCGCCAGCAACCCCCAAUUUUUUUCAGGUUGACCUCGGAUCAGGUAGGGAUACCCGCUGAACUUAAGCAUAUCAAUAAGCGGAGG